AGGUCAUACUGGCAUCCUUAAAACAUGGGCAGCAAUCUCUUCCAGGUUCUACUGGACCGGGAUGUCUGUAGACAUAAAAAAUUGGAUCUUAGAAUGUGACAGAUGCCAAAAGGUUGGAAAACCAUUGACUGCAGUGGGGGAGUUGCAGCCGAUAAAGGUCUCUGGCGUGUGGGAUUUGAUUGGGAUCGACCUUACUGGACCACUUCCCAAAACUGUCAAUGGCUUUCAAUACAUUUUGACAGCUACUGAUUUUUUUUCCAAGUGGGUGGAAGCUUUUCCACUCAAGUCCAAAUCAGCUGCAGAAGUUGCAAGAUUUAUUCACGUUUUCAUAAAGUUAAUAAAUAUAUUU